GUACAGGUUCUCUGCUGAGAGCAAGCCUACAGCAGCCUUGAAGGUCUCCUACCUGUAUUUGUGACAGUAAGCAUGUUUUGGUGGAUCUUUGGCUAUUAAGUCGGCGGUUCGUUUCAAGCAAGCUAAAACAAAUGGACAAUUCACUGUAAGGAUGAAUCACAAGAUAUGGAAAGUGACAAAGAAGAGGAGAGAAAAUUAACCUAUUUACAUUAGUCUGGGACUGUACAUGUGACCCAUCCCCAAAUUCAGAUUCUUUUACUUUUGUGAAUUGAU